rnacentral:rRNA from 1 species
GAUGAACGCCGGCGGUGUGCCUAAUACAUGCAAGUCGUACGCACUGGCCCAACUGAUUGAUGGUGCUUGCACCUGAUUGACGAUGGAUCACCAGUGAGUGGCGGACGGGUGAGUAACACGUAGGUAACCUGCCCCGGAGCGGGGGAUAACAUUUGGAAACAGAUGCUAAUACCGCAUAACAACAAAAGCCACAUGGCUUUUGUUUGAAAGAUGGCUUUGGCUAUCACUCUGGGAUGGACCUGCGGUGCAUUAGCUAGUUGGUAAGGUAACGGCUUACCAAGGCGAUGAUGCAUAGCCGAGUUGAGAGACUGAUCGGCCACAAUGGAACUGAGACACGGUCCAAACUCCUACGGAGGCAGCAGUAGGGAAUCUUCCACAAUGGACGAAAGUCUGAUGGAGCAACGCCGCGUGAGUGAAGAAGGGUUUCGGCUCGUAAAGCUCUGUUGGUAGUGAAGAAGAUAGAGGUAGUAACUGGCCUUAUUU